rnacentral:tRNA from 1 species
GCCUGGGUGGCUCAGUUGGUUGAGCGUCCGACUUCAGCUCAGGUCGUGAUCUCACGGUUCGUGAGUUCGAGCCCCGCAUCAGGCU